AAUCUUUGUAAUGAAGUGUGUUAUCAUGUGAUAUUCCAGGUAUUCCUCCUGCUGCUGACUCUAGAACUCAUCUCUCUCCUGUCAUUCAGAUAAACAUGAAGAUCUCGAUCUUUGCCGGUGUUCUGCUGAUCUCUGCUGCCGUGCUCUCUGAUAAAGUGAAACACGAUGUUGCUUGGUUUACUAACCAACACAUCGCUGAUGAGAUG